rnacentral:rRNA from 1 species
UACAGAGGUCUCGAGCGUUGUUCGGAUUCAUUGGGCGUAAAGGGUGCGUAGGUGGUCUGGUAAGUCGGAUGUGAAAUCCCGGAGCUUAACUUCGGAACUGCAUUCGAUACUGCCGGACUGGAGUACUGGAGAGGAGAUCGGAAUUUACGGUGUAGCAGUGAAAUGCGUAGAUAUCGUAAGGAAGACCAGUGGCGAAGGCGAGUCCCUGGACAACUCCUGACACUGAGGCACGAAAGCUAGGGGAGCAAACCAGGAGUUAGAAAACCCCA